rnacentral:lncRNA from 1 species
CUUCGAAUGAACCGGAAAAAUCUGUACUCUUGGAUUUUCACACAACUGAACUUGCCUGCCUCUGCCGAAGGGUUAACGUGCACAUGGAUGAUGGCAAAGUGUGAAGUCUUGAGUAUAGACCCUGGUAGGUCAAGACUUGGAAUUCCCUGGAAAUGCUUAGUGAGAGGCAGAAUGAAUCCGAACAGAGAGAGAAGAGCACUCCUAUGCCAUCCAUUAGAUUAAGACAACAUUGGCUAAUUAAGUAUCUCCGACCUAUUACUCCCUCAUUUAAUCAACCAUUAUUUCUCUGGCCAAACUUCCUUCCUCUCUCCUUUCAUAUUGAUGGUGGCCCUCUUGGGUGGCGGGCUGGCAUGGCUC